CUCUAAUCCAACAAGACUGGUGUCCUUAAAAGAAGAGGGAAAUAUGGACACAGACAUAGACACAGAGGAAGAUGAUGUGAAGACACACAGGGAAAACAUCAUGUAAAGACAGGCUUGGAGUGGUGCACCUACAAGCCAACACAGAAUCACAGCAUCUCAGAGUUGGAAGGAAUUCUUCAUAUGACCACAUUGAUUUUUUUUUUCCUGUUGGUCGGCAUCAGAUUUGUGAAGGCCCCUGGAAGAUUGGAUGGUGCCUGCCUAUACGGAGGGCGGAUCUUCCCCUCCUCGUCCACUCAGACUCACAUGCAAGUCUCCUCUAGAAACACCCUUGCAGACACACCCCAAAAUGACACUUUUAGAGUGUCUUCGAAGAAGGUAAAUAUUGUUCCCAUUUUGUGGAUAAGAAAAAUGAGAACCAGAGCGAUCAAGGGCUUGCUCAAAAGUACUCAACCAGUUAAUGUCAGAGCUGGCACCUGAACUCAGGCCUCUACAACUCUAAAUGUUUUCAAUGAUAGCAGAAUUGCCUCUAAUGGCAAAACAUUGUAGAAUCAUAUUGAUGUUUCAGAUUAUAUUGCCAGUCGUACUUCGUUGAGCUAUGCUUGGUAAUGCCACUGCCAUCUUGGAAAGAAAAUAGAUGCUGAAGUUCCCCAUAGAUGCUGAACACUCAGAAAGUGCCAAUAGUUGCAUCGAUUUGAUUGUAUCUGCUACCUCAUUCCCUCUGAAACACCUGCAAAUAAAGGAAAAUAACUAACCCAUUGUGCCCCCAUCUAAGAAUGCCUGAAAUCAGAAAUAUCCCAGCAUUGUGACCUGAAGUUGCCUCAGCAGGAAGUUCUGUUUUUUAAAUUAGGACUCUAGCCAUUUUUUUUCCCAGUAGCUCUUAUUGCCAGUGGGGCUUUGAGCAAACAGUUCCCAGGAAAGCUGUCUAUACCUACAUGAUAUGAAGACAAUAAUGAUACCUGCUUCCUGUCUACCUGGCAAGUGUGUUGGGAAAAGCAAUAAGAUAAUGUCUGUCAUGUGCUUUGAAUGCCUAGAAAGAAAGAUAGGGUUUAUGAGCAAGGGUGUGAUUAUAUUGAGUCAGCC
rnacentral:lncRNA from 1 species